rnacentral:rRNA from 1 species
AGCGAACGCUGGCGGCAGGCUUAACACAUGCAAGUCGAGCGGUCAUCCUUGUCGUGUCUGCGGUUUACGGGUGAGUAACGCGUGGGUACGUGCUCUUUGGUUCGCAAUAACUUAGGGUAACUUGACCUAAUACCGGAUACGUUCGAGCGCAGUAAGGUUUGUCUGCCGAAGGAUCGGGCCUCGUCUGAUUAGCUAGUUGGUGAGGGUAUGGCUCACCAAGGCGAGGAUCAGUAGCUGGUCUGAGAGGAUGUUCAGCCACACUGGGGAUUAGACACGGCCGAGAAUACUACGGGAGGGAGGAGAGGGUAAUAAAGGAAAGGGGGGGCAACGCUGAACCAGCCAGGGCGGGAGAGUGAUGACGGCGUUAGGGAAGGAAAGAUAGUUUCUACGGGACGAUAAUGACGGUACCGGAGGAAGAAGCCCCGGCUAACUUCGUG